rnacentral:rRNA from 1 species
AUUGAACGCUGGCGGCAUGCCUUACACAUGCAAGUCGAACGGCAGCGCGGGGCAACCUGGCGGCGAGUGGCGAACGGGUGAGUAAAAUAUCGGAACAUACCCUAGAGUGGGGGAUAACGUAGCGAAAGUUACGCUAAUACCGCAUACGCACUAAGGUGGAAAGUGGGGGAUCUUCGGACCUCAUGCUCAUGGAGUGGCCGAUAUCUGAUUAGCUAGUUGGUGAGGUAAAGGCUCACCAAGGCGACGAUCAGUAGCUGGUUUGAGAGAACGACCAGCCACACUGGAACUGAGACACGGUCCAGACUCCUACGGGAGGCAGCAGUGGGGAAUUUUGGACAAUGGGGGCAACCCUGAUCCAGCAAUGCCGCGUGAGUGAAGAAGGCC